UCUGGUGGCCCUAGCGGAGGGGACACACCCGGAUCCAUGCCGAACCCGGCCGUUAAGCCCUCCAGCGCCGAUGGUACUACGGGGGGUACCCGUGGGAGAGUAGGUCGCCGCCAGAA
rfam:Aminomonas paucivorans DSM 12260 chromosome, whole genome shotgun sequence.